CAAAUACCAGAUAAAUGCAAAUUAAUUCAAAAAUUAAAAAAAAAGAAAUAUUCGAAUCCCCUUCCUCAACCCACGUUGAAAAAAACGCUACCUCUCUCCCCAAAUCUCUCCCAUAUCUGUAACCCCCUCCCUUCUAUAAUAUUCACGACAAGAUCAUCCUCCUUCCUAUUCAUUCUCUGCAAUCAAGAAACCAAGACCCAUUCUCCUCAACGUCAAUUCAAGUAACCAAAUCCUCCAGCUUCAAGAACCAUUUUUUUUUCUCCUCAACCUCCGUCUGCAAUUGAAGGUGAAUCAUCGCAAGGGAAUCGUGAUCGCAAGGGAAAGAAAGUAAUUUCAAUUU